UUUAUGGAGAGUUUGAUCCUGGCUCAGGAUGAACGCUGGCGGCGUGCCUAAUACAUGCAAGUCGAGCGAACGGACGAGAAGCUUGCUUCUCUGAUGUUAGCGGCGGACGGGUGAGUAACACGUGGAUAACCUACCUAUAAGACUGGGAUAACUUCGGGAAACCGGAGCUAAUACCGGAUAAUAUUUUGAACCGCAUGGUUCAAAAGUGAAAGACGGUCUUGCUGUCACUUAUAGAUGGAUCCGCGCUGCAUUAGCUAGUUGGUAAGGUAACGGCUUACCAAGGCAACGAUGCAUAGCCGACCUGAGAGGGUGAUCGGCCACACUGGAACUGAGACACGGUCCAGACUCCUACGGGAGGCAGCAGUAGGGAAUCUUCCGCAAUGGGCGAAAGCCUGACGGAGCAACGCCGCGUGAGUGAUGAAGGUCUUCGGAUCGUAAAACUCUGUUAUUAGGGAAGAACAUAUGUGUAAGUAACUGUGCACAUCUUGACGGUACCUAAUCAGAAAGCCACGGCUAACUACGUGCCAGCAGCCGCGGUAAUACGUAGGUGGCAAGCGUUAUCCGGAAUUAUUGGGCGUAAAGCGCGCGUAGGCGGUUUUUUAAGUCUGAUGUGAAAGCCCACGGCUCAACCGUGGAGGGUCAUUGGAAACUGGAAAACUUGAGUGCAGAAGAGGAAAGUGGAAUUCCAUGUGUAGCGGUGAAAUGCGCAGAGAUAUGGAGGAACACCAGUGGCGAAGGCGACUUUCUGGUCUGUAACUGACGCUGAUGUGCGAAAGCGUGGGGAUCAAACAGGAUUAGAUACCCUGGUAGUCCACGCCGUAAACGAUGAGUGCUAAGUGUUAGGGGGUUUCCGCCCCUUAGUGCUGCAGCUAACGCAUUAAGCACUCCGCCUGGGGAGUACGACCGCAAGGUUGAAACUCAAAGGAAUUGACGGGGACCCGCACAAGCGGUGGAGCAUGUGGUUUAAUUCGAAGCAACGCGAAGAACCUUACCAAAUCUUGACAUCCUUUGACAACUCUAGAGAUAGAGCCUUCCCCUUCGGGGGACAAAGUGACAGGUGGUGCAUGGUUGUCGUCAGCUCGUGUCGUGAGAUGUUGGGUUAAGUCCCGCAACGAGCGCAACCCUUAAGCUUAGUUGCCAUCAUUAAGUUGGGCACUCUAAGUUGACUGCCGGUGACAAACCGGAGGAAGGUGGGGAUGACGUCAAAUCAUCAUGCCCCUUAUGAUUUGGGCUACACACGUGCUACAAUGGACAAUACAAAGGGCAGCGAAACCGCGAGGUCAAGCAAAUCCCAUAAAGUUGUUCUCAGUUCGGAUUGUAGUCUGCAACUCGACUACAUGAAGCUGGAAUCGCUAGUAAUCGUAGAUCAGCAUGCUACGGUGAAUACGUUCCCGGGUCUUGUACACACCGCCCGUCACACCACGAGAGUUUGUAACACCCGAAGCCGGUGGAGUAACCUUUUAGGAGCUAGCCGUCGAAGGUGGGACAAAUGAUUGGGGUGAAGUCGUAACAAGGUAGCCGUAUCGGAAGGUG
rnacentral:rRNA from 1 species